rfam:Triticum aestivum genome assembly, contig: Triticum_aestivum_CS42_TGACv1_scaffold_374006_5AL
UUCCUACUCCCUCCGUCCGAAAAAGCUUGUCCCUUAAAUGGAUGUAUCUAGCACUAAGUUAGUAUUAGAUACAUCCACUUGAUAGACAAGCUUGGGACAAGUUUUUUUGGACAGAGGGAGUACUAC